rnacentral:rRNA from 1 species
UACAGAGGUGGCAAGCGUUGUUCGGAAUUACUGGGCGUAAAGGGCGCGUAGGCGGCCAUCUAAGUCAGACGUGAAAUCCCCCGGCUUAACCUGGGAACUGCGUCUGAUACUGGACGGCUUGAGUAUGGGAGAGGGAUGUAGAAUUCCAGGUGUAGCGGUGAAAUGCGUAGAUAUCUGGAGGAAUACCGGUGGCGAAGGCGGCAUCCUGGACCAUUACUGACGCUGAGGCGCGAAAGCUAGGGGAGCAACGGG